rnacentral:rRNA from 1 species
GUAAAUAAUAAAGGGCGUAUGGUGGAUGCCUAGGCUCUCAGAGGCGAUGAAGGACGUGAUAAGCUGCGAAAAGCUCCGUUUAGGUGCAAAUAACCUUUGAUGCGGAGAUCUCCGAAUGGGAUAACCCAAUAUGUUGAAGACAUAUUAUACCGUAAGGUAGGCAAACGCAGGGAACUGAAACAUCUAAGUACCUGCAGGAGAAGAAAACAAACGUGAUUCCCCCAGUAGCGGCGAGCGACCGGGGAUAAGCCCAAACCGUUAUUGUUUCGGCAGUAGCGGGGUAGUAGGACUGCGACAUUGAUGAAAUAAAUGAAAUGGAACACCUUGGAAAAUGUGAUCACAGAGGGUGAUAAUCCCGUACAUGUAAGUUUAUGAAUCAUAGCAGACUCCUGAGUAAGUCGGGACACGUGUAAUCCUGACCGAAUCCGCCGGGACCAUCCGGCAAGGCUAAAUACUCCUGAGAGACCGAUAGUGAACCAGUACCGUGAGGGAAAGGUGAAAAGCACUUCGAACAGAAGAGUGAAAUAGUCCCUGAACCCAUACGCCUACAAGCAGUCGGAGCCGCUUCGUGCGGUGACGGCGUGCCUUUUGCAUAAUGAGCCUACGAGUUACUCAUCACCAGCGAGGUUAAGUACUUCAGGUACGUAAGCCGAAGCGAAAGCGAGUCUGAAUAGGGCGUCAAGUUGGUGGUGGUAGACGCGAAACCUUAGUGAUCUACCCAUGGGCAGGGUGAAGGUUUGGUAACACAAACUGGAGGCCCGAACCGGUAAACGUUGAAAAGUUUUCGGAUGACCUGUGGGUAGGGGUGAAAGGCCAAUCAAACUGGGAAAUAGCUCGUACUCUCCGAAAUGCAUUUAGGUGCAGCCUCUGUUGUUUUGUUCUAGAGGUAGAGCUACUGAUUGGAUGCGAGGGCUUCACCGCCUAUCAAAUCCGGCCAAACUCCGAAUGCUAGAACAUAAAGACAGGGAGUGAGCCAGCGGGUGCUAAGGUCCGUUGACGAAAGAGGGAGAACUCAGACCAUCAGCUAAGGUCCCCAAUUAUAUGCUAAGUUGGAAUAAAAACGGGGUGGGACUGCUUAGACAGCUAGGAUGUUGGCUUGGAAGCAGCCAUUCAUUUAAAGAGUGCGUAACAGCUCACUAGUCGAGCGGUCCUGCAUGGAUAAUACGCGGGCAUAAGCAUAUAACCGAAGCUAUGGGAUUGUAGAUGAUACAAUCGGUAGGAGAGCAUUCCAUUCAGCAUAGAAGCAGUAUCGUGAGGUAUUGUGGAGCGGAUGGAAAAGCAAAUGUAGGCAUAAGUAACGAUAAUGCGGGUGAGAACCCCGCACGCCGAAAGAUCAAGGAUUCCCCGGCAAUGUCAAUCAUCCGGGGGUAAGUCGGAUCCUAAGGGUAAGCCGAGUGGCGAUCCCGAUGGUAAACAGGUUAAUAUUCCUGUACUGAUCAUAACUGCGAUGCAGCGACGCAGAGGUGACACUGCUGCGUACUGACGGAAUAGUACGUUGAAACCCGUAUUCUUUGAUACCGGUAGUGAAGCACGCCGGUAGAGAUGAAAGGUGAUAGUACCGCAAUGCUUCGGUUGCGCGGAUAAUGCAGGUAAGCUGACUGCCAAGAAAACCUGCUAAGCUUCAGGUAAUGAUCAUCCGUACUGUAAACGGACACACGUGAUCAGGUAGAAAAUACUAAGGCGCUCGAGAGAUUCAUGGUUAAGGAACUAGGCAAAAUGGUCCUGUAACUUCGGGAUAAAGGACGCUCUUGUGAAAGAGCCGCAGAUAAUAGGCCCAGGCGACUGUUUACCAAAAACACAUGGCUAUGCUAAUUCGCAAGAAGAUGUAUAUGGCCUGACACCUGCCCGGUGCCGGAAGGUUAAGAGGAGAGCUCAGAGGUAACUCGAAGGUUUGAAUUGAAGCCCCGGUAAACGGCGGCCGUAACUAUAACGGUCCUAAGGUAGCGAAAUUCCUUGUCGGGU